AAUACUUACCUAUCUUAGAUGAUAGGCCAGGCAUGGGGUGUCAGGGGGUUCAUCCAAGCUGGCAUGGCUGGGAGGGGCCCGCAUUGACUCCUGGGUAAAUGGAAAGGGAACCCAUUGCCUUUCUGUCUCCUUGGGGUAUGGGCAGUGUGUUAGUCAGGGUUCUCUAGAGGCACAGGACUGACAGAGUGUAUGUGGUCGAGAAAUUAUUAGUCAGCUUGCUUCAAAACAGCUAAUAACAGCUGAAUCCCACCCAAGAGGAAGAGAACUGGCAACUGCUUGGUCCUUGAGGUUGGAUGGAGCCUUAGCAGCCAGAGGAGUCCCACAGUGGCUGUCUCACCCUGGUAGUGGCUCAGCCUCAGCAAGUCCCAAUCUGACACUGAAAACCCAGAGGCUUCCUGAAGAGCCACCUGUCCUCAGUCAGCUGGAAGUCUGGAAACAUUCCAUUUGUCAGCAAAGGAAUCAACAGCAGCAAUGAGACAAAUCAACUUGAAGAAGAGGGAGGGCCAACCAGCAAAAGCUGUGUGACCUUGGCCUGGUAGCUGACUUAUGCUAAGCCUCAGUGUCUUACCAGAGGAAGUGGGACCAGAAUGUCUUCCCCAGCUGCCUCCACCCAGCACACCAGCAAUGUCUCCCUGGGCCAAUGGCUGAACGAGCACCACAAGUGCUAAGCAACAAACAACAGUUAUCAUUAAUCCUGAAUUGUUUCUGGCACCAUCUCUGCAAGUGACAGGCCUUGGGAGAGAGAGUCGAGUCCCCGGGUGACUCCACAGAGCAGAGG